AAAACGACUCUCGGCAACGGAUAUCUCGGCUCUCGCAUCGAUGAAGAACGUAGCGAAAUCCGAAACUUGGUGUGAAUUGCAGAAUCCCGUGAACCAUCGAGUCUUUGAACGCAAGUUGCGCCCCAAGCCAUUAGGCCGAGGGCACGUCUGCCUGGGUGUCACGC
rnacentral:rRNA from 1 species